AUGCAAACACAAAUAACUGAAAAUGAGCAGAAAGGGAGAGGGUGCUGGUGUGAGUGGGAUGCUUCUGAGCCCGGGCAGAGCCGCUGGCGAGACGGUGAUGAGCCGGUGGGUGGUGGAGACACAGGGAACACAGAAACAAGGCCAAGGCGGCUCCGAGUCAGGAAGGGAGAAAGAGAGAUUGUUUCCAUAGGGACAAGCAGGGCAUCAGCAGGAAGCUGGGAGGAGCUGGUCAGCGCGCAGGCCCAGCAGGGAGGCCCGAGGAUGGCCGGCUCAGGAGCCAGCCCCCAGGCGUCUGCCCCAGAGGUAAGAGACCUGUGUCCCAGGCUGCCUGGAGCAUCCGUCUUCUGAGAAAACUGCCAGGAUUAGUUUCAGAGGAUUGCAUCAAAGAAUGAGGUGUUACUGGGCUUUGGACAUGCAAAGAGAACUGCAGGGCCAGAAGAAAGCAAUUAGCACAAGAAAAAGGAGCAAAUUCCUUUAUAGUGGCUGAGCCUGGAAUCCCAGAGGUUUAUCUGCCCUGGCCAAAGAUGCUCUAUAAUUAUUCCGACCUCAGGGAAGCAAGGAAGGCAGGAGGAGGUGAUGUCCAGGAAGUAAGUGAAAGGUAAGCAGGUAAUUAACACGCUGGUGGUCUGGAAAAGGCCAGAGGGAGGGGGUGGAUAGGAUCCAGGUUGUUGGAAAUUGUGUCCCAUUCCUCUCCUCAUCCAGCCCAGAGAAAGUCAAGAGAACUGUAGGAGCAAGAGUAACACCAAGGCUGGUGGGGUUCUGUCUCUGUUCCCCAGGUGAGACCCCGGAAAGAGCCCAAGUCUCGGCCUCCCCUACAGCACCCCUUGGGUAGGAUGAAACCACUGGAUGGCCAGGGUGGUCCAGCAAUGUCACCCUGUUCUCAAGUGGUAGAGACAAAUGGAGAAGGUAGGAGUUUGUUCAGCCCCCACAGUGAGCUGGAGGGCUGGGCACAGGAGCUGAGAGGGGGAGAGGUGGCUGCAGAGUGAGCCAAGGAUCAGCCCAGACGCCACCAGACCACAGUCUCCCACAGAUGGGUCUGCACUGGCACCUGGAGCCCAGAUGAGGCCAAACAGCCAGGAGAGACCCUGAGGUCCCCAGGCAGGCUCAAGCCCCAGGGUCAGCAGAGUGCCCAUCAGCCAGACAGAUGGGCACAGAAAUGUAUGCCCUGCCCAUGCGGAAUGGCCCCCUCUACCACGGGUCUUUGGAAGCCUCACUCUCCCCUGGACCAUACACCAUCAGGGAAAGUGGGCAAGAUGGGGUUGUGGCAGAUGCCCAGUUACUCUAAAGGCUCUAAGCUCAUCCAGACAGUCCCCACCUCCCUCACGCCCAUGCAUGCAGGGAGCCAGGGAAACUUCACCCACCCAGGCUCUGCAAAGGAGUCGCCUGGCCCCUGUACUUCUUAGCUACGAGCUCCAUCUCACCACAGUUGCCCUCAGCGCCAUCCACCCAAGUAGGGGCUGGGCAUCGGGAAACACAGAUCAUGGUUAUUCACUCAGCAAGGUUUAUGAGAGGCUGUGAUGCUCCGGCACCAGGAACAUGGCAAUGACCCUGCUUGCAGAAGGGCUGUGUUCUAGAGCAAGGGAGGGGAACAGUAGCUCAUGCCCGAUUCCAUAAAUACAGCUGACUGUAGAGGACCAGACCCUUCCAAGCUACAUGAAAGGGACUUCCCCAGGGGCCAGUGGCUAAGACUGCACUCUCAGUGCCAGGGUCCCAGGUUUGAUCCUUGGUCAGGGAACUAAGAUCCUGCAUGGCACAACUAGGGAUCCCGUGUGCCCAACAAAGAUCAAAGAAGAUCCUGCAUGCCAAAAGUAAGACCCAUUGCAGCCAAAUCAAUCAAUCGAUCAAUCAAUAAAAAUAUUUUUAAAAGAGCUAAAUGAGAAGAGUAGA
ensembl:lincRNA